rnacentral:rRNA from 1 species
UACGUAGGAGGCGAGCGUUGUCCGGAAUUACUGGGCGUAAAGAGCGCGUAGGCGGCACGGUACGACCGGUGUGAAAGCCCCGGCUCAACUGGGGAGGGUCACCGGUAACGGCCGAGCUAUGAGUGCAGGAGAGGGAAGUGGAACUCCGGGAGUAGCGGUGAAAUGCGUAGAGACCCGGAGGAACACCAGUGGCGAAGGCGGCUUCCUGGUCGUGCAACUGACGCUGUGGCGCGAAAGCUAGGGGAGCAAACGGG